rnacentral:rRNA from 1 species
UGGUGGAGUGAUUUGUCUGGUUAAUUCCGUUAACGAACGAGACCACAGCCUGCUAAAUAGUGCUGCUUUUUUCACGAAAGGUAGUAGCUUCUUAGAGGGACGUGCUGUAUUUGUACAGCAGGAAGCGUGUGGCGAUAACA